rfam:Mortierella elongata AG-77 unplaced genomic scaffold K457scaffold_9, whole genome shotgun sequence.
UCCUUGGUAGUAUAGUGGUGAGUAUCUCCGCCUGUCACGCGGAAGACCGGGGUUCAAUUCCCCGCCAAGGAG